CCUUUCUAUAAUCGGCCUUCAAUCCUAAAAAAACUUCCACUUUGCAUCUCUUUUGUAGCCCAAGAUUCAAGUGUUUCAGGCGAUUUUGAGUUCGACGACGACUGAGUUUCAGGCCGCAGGGGACUUCUCCGCCGACGAUCCAGUCGGAGGGGGCGUUGCUGCUACGUUAUCUAUGUAUCUCCAUCGCCGAUCAUGGAGUAUCUUUUCUAAUUUGCUGCAUUUGUUCCUCUGUUUUUUUUUUUUCUAUAUAUCCAAUUUGCACGCUUUGCAUGUCUUUGUCAAUGCCAAUUUUUCUGGGUUGGCAGUUAGCGGAUUAGAGAGAUAAAGAUGGCGGUGGCGGUGGCGUUGGCAAUCUGUGGUGGUGGUGAUUUUGGUGGCCGGAGACAACCAAAACCAAAUCUGUGUUAAAGGGUUAGUGAAAGAGUGGUCUCAUUAUCCUACCCACAGUCAAAGGGUAUAGUAUGUAAGAAAGCGUCAAUUCGUUAAUGGGGCUCUUCUAAAAAACCGUUGGGAUGCGAAAGAUGUAAUACUCGAUAUUGUCUCUCUUCUCUCUAUAGUUAUUUAGUGUACAAUUGAAGCUUCAACUCUUUAAGCAUUCAACUAGAUAAUUAGAGUAGUUGACUUGUGUCGUUCUCGAAUUGCUUUGUUCCUUUCACAUAUCAUAGAGGUUAUCAAUUUGGCUUAUUUGAAGAUUAUGUCCUUAAUGUGUUACAUGUCUUAUUCAAUCAUACCUCCACUAGAGUAUAUUCUACUUUUAAAUCAAUAUGAUCAUUUAGAGAAAUAUUCAUCACAACACUUUUGGCCCAACACUUUUGAAGGUGUAAAUCUUUUACCCCAAAAAAACAAUUAAAAUAUAUUUUAAAAAAUGCCUUACUGUGUCCCUGUGUGUGUACAUGGCAUACAGAUUCGUAUAUGCUCCCAAGCAAAAUUUGUUUAUAAAAUCAGCUUGGUAUCACAGGCUUACAUUUGGGUGAUAUAAUGGCUUUUAGAACAGAACUUGGACUAUAGACAUGGCAGUCUUAGAAAUAUUGGGACGUUCUUAUUUAUUUCUAGACUACAAGUUCAUGUUUAUUGUGCACUUUCUUGGUGAAAUAGUGAACUUGUGAUUAUGGUGACACCAGUUGUAUGGUGCAAAAGCUAGCACAACUUUAAUUGGCGAGCUUUGUUUUUUUGGAUUUGUGAACUUAUAAGCCAUAGCAUGUUAGUUUUUAUACUUCCGUUUUCUACCUUUUAUAGUUGAACAUUCCCUAUGAAUUGAGGAGAUGUUGCUUUUCAACUCAAACUUCGAUGGUACCCAAAGCAACCAUGUAUAUUGUGAUUCUGAGAGUUGGGUUUUGUUCUUCAAUGGGUAGUUGCCACUUGCUAGAGUUCAUGGUAUGUAAUAGCUUGAAGUUGAAUCCGCCCGAAUAGCACCUGCCCAACAAGGACAUAGCAAUCGAACCAUUGCAAAUGAAGAAAAAUGCCAUCAUUAGGUGUUCGUGGGUAUUUGUUGCAGAUGUUUGGGUUUUGAGUAGGUCAAGAGCCCCAAGUUUGAAUUUAAUGUCAUUUGGCCGAACCUCCAUCAUUCUUUCUACACCUUAUCAAGAGAGAUCUGGAGACAAAGCUUUCAAAAGGACCAUGGAUAGCUAUAGCAGCCAUUGCAGACCCUAAAAAUCUCCCUUGAGUUCAUCACAUCUUCUUCUCUGUAUCCAAUUUUGAAUCAUUUGUUUAGACUCUUGAGGAAGAAGGAUCUUGGCAGAUACAAUUACGUUGAUGGAAUAAACUCUACCAAGAGUUUUUGCUUUGUCUGACUAGAAUAAACUCUACCUUUUGCUAUGUCUAAUCCUUUGGCAAUUGUAUAAAAAACCCUAUAGCCAAAGUCAUGCAAGUAGCUGAAUAACUUGAAACCUUUUUUUCAGUGCAAAAACUUAUCUAGACCAUAACUUCUACAACUACCAACUUCUGAUGAUACACUUGAUCAAGCUUAUCCAUAUAACCUUUGCUAUGAUCAACAACAGCCAUAAUUUAAACAAAAUCCAAA